GAUGAACGCUGGCGGCGUGCUUAACACAUGCAAGUCGAACGGGAAACCUUUUAUUGAAGCUUCGGCAGAUUUAGCUGGUUUCUAGUGGCGGACGGGUGAGUAACGCGUGGGUAACCUGCCCUAUACAGGGGGAUAACAACCAGAAAUGGUUGCUAAUACCGCAUAAGCGCACAGGGCCGCAUGGUCCGGUGUGAGAAACUCCGGUGGUAUAGGAUGGACCCGCGUUGGAUUAGCCAGUUGGCAGGGUAACGGCCUACCAAAGCGACGAUCCAUAGCCGGCCUGAGAGGGUGAACGGCCACAUUGGGACUGAGACACGGCCCAGACUCCUACGGGAGGCAGCAGUGGGGAAUAUUGCACAAUGGGGGAAACCCUGAUGCAGCGACGCCGCGUGAAGGAAGAAGUAUCUCGGUAUGUAAACUUCUAUCAGCAGGGAAGAUAGUGACGGUACCUGACUAAGAAGCCCCGGCUAACUACGUG
rnacentral:rRNA from 1 species